AUUAUUAGUUUAAAAUAUUUAAAUAUUUAUGAUUAAAUAUUUGUAUAUAUCUAUAGCGUAAAGGUGAGUAAAUUAUAAAUAAAUUACCUAAAAAUUGUUGCAAAAAUUUAAUUUAAUCAAUAAUAUAUUGAAAGAAAAAAAUAAUUUUUUAUUUUUUUCGUUUUUAGAUAUUUAUUUAUAUAAGAUUAGGUAGUUGGUAAGGUAAAAGCUUACCAAGCCAAAGAUCUUUAGUUGGUUUGUGAGAAUGAUCAACCACAUCGGGAUUGAAAUAAAGCCCGAACUCUUUAUGAGUCAGCAGUGGGGAAUAUUGGACAAUAAACGAAAGUUUGAUCCAGCAAUACUACAUAAGUGAUGAAGGCUUUAUCGUUGUAAAACUUAUAAUUUGAUGAAAUAAUGAUUUAUCAAAGGAAUAGUUCUGGCAAACUCUGUGCCAGCAGCCGCGGUAAUACAGAGGUCUCAAGCGUUGUUCGGAAUCACUGGGCGUAAAGCGUGCGUAGGCUGUUUCGUAAGUCGUGUGUGAAAGGCGCGGGCUCAACCCGCGGACGGCACAUGAUACUGCGAGACUAGAGUAAUGGAGGGGGAACCGGAAUUCUCGGUGUAGCAGUGAAAUGCGUAGAUAUCGAGAGGAACACUCGUGGCGAAGGCGGGUUCCUGGACAUUAACUGACGCUGAGGCACGAAGGCCAGGGGAGCGAAAGGGAUUAGAUACCCCUGUAGUCCUGGCAGUAAACGGUGCACGCUUGGUGUGCGGGGAAUCGACCCCCUGCGUGCCGGAGCUAACGCGUUAAGCGUGCCGCCUGGGGAGUACGGUCGCAAGAUUAAAACUCAAAGAAAUUGACGGGGACCCGCACAAGCGGUGGAGUAUGUGGCUUAAUUCGAUGCAACGCGAAGAACCUUACCUGGGCUUGACAUGUAAUGAACAACAUGUGAAAGCAUGCGACUCUUCGGAGGCGUUACACAGGUGCUGCAUGGCCGUCGUCAGCUCGUGUCGUGAGAUGUUUGGUUAAGUCCAGCAACGAGCGCAACCCCUGUUGCCAGUUACCAGCACGUGAAGGUGGGGACUCUGGCGAGACUGCCCAGAUCAACUGGGAGGAAGGUGGGGACGACGUCAGGUCAGUAUGGCCCUUAUGCCCAGGGCUGCACACGUACUACAAUGCCCAGUACAGAGGGGGCCGAAGCCGCGAGGCGGAGGAAAUCCUGAAAACUGGGCCCAGUUCGGACUGUAGGCUGCAACCC
rnacentral:rRNA from 1 species